UCUACAUUUAGUGUUAUAUGUAAGGCCAAAAAGUCAACGACUUUGGCUUCCCUCUCUUUAUCUCUACUCUAUUAUAAAUCGAAGGGCCAAUAAAAUUUAUAUUUGUCCUAAAAAACUAAAAACAAACCAAUCUCUCUCUCUCUCUCUCUCUCUCUCUCUCUCUCUCUCUCUCUGGCAUAGCUAAAGAAGAUAUUUAGAGCGAAAAACUUUUGAUUGUCUGUGAGAUUUGUUAGGGAUGGAAAAGGGAAACAAAGAAAGUAAGAAAUGGGUACAAGAGGAGGUUAGUAAUGAAAUAAACAAUAGGGAAUUGGCUGAAGAAGAAAGUGUUGAUUGGAGAGGAAGACCUUCCAACCCUAGCAAGCAUGGUGGAAUGCGAGCUGCUCUCUUUGUUCUUGGAUUACAAGCCUUUGAAAUAAUGGGGAUAGCAGCAGUAGGGAACAACCUCAUAACAUAUGUGAUCAACGAAAUGCAUUUCCCCUUGUCUAAAGCGGCCAAUAUUGUCACCAACUUUGUUGGCACCAUCUUUAUAUUUAGCUUCGUCGAGCUUUCUGGUUUUAUACUACUAUCAGUCCAAGCACAUUUAUCUCAACUAAAGCCACCAAAGUGUAACCCACUGAUAAACCAGAGCUCAUGUGAAGAGGCAAAAGGUUUCAAGGCAAUAAUUUUCUUCACGGCACUCUACUUGGUGGCUUUGGGAAGUGGCUGUGUGAAACCAAACAUGAUAGCUCAUGGUGCGGACCAGUUCUCUCAUCAAUCGCAUCCUAAACAAUCUAAAAGACUCUCAUCUUACUUCAACGCCGCAUAUUUCGCCUUCUCCAUUGGGGAGCUUAUCGCACUCAGUCUCCUGGUUUGGAUUCAAACUCAUUCUGGCAUGGACGUUGGAUUUGGAGUCUCUGCUGCAGCCAUGACUAUGGGCCUCAUUAGCUUAGUAUCCGGUACAACGUAUUUUCGUAACAAACGUCCACGUCGAAGCAUCUUCCCUCCUAUUGCCCAAUCUCUUGAUUCCCGUUGCGCAUGGUACCGAGCCGUUCGAAGCGGUGGUGAUGAUUGAUGUGCUGCGGCGAGGCGGCGCGGAUGUAACGGUGGCCAUCGUUAACUGCGGCGAGGCGGCGCGGAUGUAACGAUGUGCCAUGGAAUCAAGAUCGUCGCCGAUUCUUCUCUCUGAUAUCACCACUCCGUUUUCGACCUUAUUAUGCUCCCUCUCUGGUCUCUAGAUUCAUCUCGUGAACACACAUAAUUGCGCAAUUAAGGAUUCGAUUGAAUGGAAUCGUUGUUAUGCCUUUGGUCAUUAGUUGUUGUUGUAGUGUUAGAUCAUAGGAAGCUUCUAGAUUUUGAUUCUGAUAUACUUUGAGAAUUUGAUAGCUGUUUUUUUUUGUGAUAUUUGUUUUGGUGAAGGGAGAGUUUACAACUUUGAUUCUGAUGAGAGCUUUCUUUACUUCUUCUUUGUCUAUGAAAGCUUACAACUUUGAAUCACAUGAACUCGUUUUUCCCAAACUGUUAAUUGCAAUUGCUUUUAGUUUCUAUAUGAGAUUGAUUUUGAUAAUUGUUUUUGGUUAUGCCAGGAGGACGAGUGGCCCUAUAAGGCAAGCCAAAGGCGGCUGGACCUCUUUCGUAUUCAUUACUUUUUGUCUAUAAAAAACCUGUGGUGGAUCACUCUCUUGGAAUUGAGAUGAGAGCUUUAUUUAGUUGUUGCAGGAUGAGACAUUGAGACAAGCAGUUUGUAAGUUUAAUGGCAAGAGCUGGAAGAAAAUAGUGGCAGGUUGUUGUGGCUGCCAUACUAAAAAGAAAGCUUGCGUCUCCCUCUGACCCAAAAAUGCUUAAUGGAGGCCAUCCUGUAACAAGCGACGUCGUACAUUCCUCCACUUUACCAUACACUCCUCGCCUCAGGUCAUACACUACAAGAAAACAGGAGGAUUCUGAUGGCCGAAAUCGUCAGAAAUUCGUCGGAAUAGACCGAUUCCGACAAAUUUCUGACGAAUCUGUCCGUCGGUAUCGUUUUGUCGGAAAAAAAAAAUUCCUCGGAAUUUCGUCAGAACUUCCGACGACUUUCUGACGAAUACCGAGAAACGUCAUUCUGACGAACUUCCGACGAUAUUACGAUGCGGACACACGAGACCAGAGUUCAUCGGAAAAACUAUAUACCGACGGAGAACGUUCCUCGGACAAUUCCGACGGAGUGGAUUCCUCGGUAUAUUCCGACGGACAUUGGUUCGUCGGAAUAUACCGACGGACAUUGGUUCGUCGGAAUAUACCGACGGACAUUGGUUCGUCGGAAUAUACCGACGGACAUUGGUUCGUCGGUAUAUACCGACGGAUAUUGGUUCGUCGGUACAUUCCGACGGAUGUAGGUUCGUCGGUAUAUUCCGAGGAACCGUUGUCCGUCGGUAUAUUCCGACGCCCAGAGUUCGUCGGUAUAUUCCGACGCCCAGAGUUCGUCGGAAUAUACCAAUUUUAAAAACGAAUUAAUUUUGCAUUUUUAUAUAUUUUUUAUAUUAAAAAAUAGUUAAUAAAUUAAAAAAAUUAGAAAUUUAAAACUAAUAAUAUUAUAGAAUUUAAAUUCAUACAAA